GACGAACGCUGGCGGCGUGCUUAACACAUGCAAGUCGAACGGAGUGGCGAACGGGUGAGUAACACGUGGGUGACCUGCCCUGCACUUCGGGAUAAGCCUGGGAAACUGGGUCUAAUACCGGAUAGUGUGGGAUGGGCGCGAGGCCUAUCGGCUUGUUGGUGGGGUAUUGGCCUACCAAGGCGGCGACGGGUAGCCGGCCUGAGAGGGUGGACGGCCACAUUGGGCCUGAGACACGGGCCAGAAUGCUACGGGAGGCAGCGGUGGGGAAUAUUGCACAAUGGGCGGAAGCCUGAUGCAGAGACGCUGGGUGGGGGAUGACGGCCUUCGGGUUGUAAACUCCUGUCACCAUCGACGCGUUACCCGCAGAAGAAGCACCGGCUAACUCCGUGCCAGCAGCCGCGGUAAUAC
rnacentral:rRNA from 1 species